rfam:Paenibacillus sp. FSL H8-0548 NODE_77_length_18918_cov_2.05606_ID_11444, whole genome shotgun sequence.
UCUACCGUGAGGUAGAAUCUGAAGGAAGCCGGCGGCAAAUCUCCGGUCUGAGGAACACGAACUUCAUAUAAGGCUAGCGUACGUUGGAUGAGGUUGCACAACAAACCAAAGUCCAUACUGCCGAAGGCGUACGAAAGUAAAUGAAGCAGAUAGAUGGAGAGGAAGAUAGCGCU